ACAGUAAGGCAUGGGCAACCUACCCCGGGGACGGGGAUAGCUCUUCUAACGAGGAGGUAAUACCUGGCGAUUCAGCGGGAAGGCAUCUUUCUGCUGGGAAACGAGUUUCGCCUCGGGAGGGGCUCAUGUAGUAUUAGCUAGUUGGUGAGGUAACGGCUCACCAAGGCAAAGAUGCUUAGCGGGUGUGAGAGCACGACCCGCGCCACUGGCACUGAGACACUGGCCAG
rnacentral:rRNA from 1 species